GAUGAACGCUAGCGGCAGGCCUAAUACAUGCAAGUCGAGGGGCAGCGCGGUAGCAAUACUGGCGGCGACCGGCGCACGGGUGCGUAACACGUAUGCAACCUACCUUCAACUGGAGGAUAGCCCGGGGAAACUCGGAUUAAUACUCCAUAACACAGGGAUCCCGCAUGGGAAUAUUGUUAAAGCUACGGCGGUUGAAGAUGGGCAUGCGUUCGAUUAGCUAGUUGGUGUAGGUAACGGCUCACCAAGGCUACGAUCGAUAGGGGGUCUGAGAGGAUGAUCCCCCACACUGGUACUGAGAUACGGACCAGACUCCUACGGGAGGCAGCAGUAGGGAAUAUUGGUCAAUGGGGCGCAAGCCUGAACCAGCCAUGCCGCGUGCAGGAAGAAGGCCCUCUGGGUUGUAAACUGCUUUUGACCAGGGCCAAAAUACUCAUGCGUGAGGAAUUGAGAGUACUGGUAGAAUAAGCACCGGCUAACUCCGUGCCAGCAGCCGCGGUAA
rnacentral:rRNA from 1 species